rnacentral:rRNA from 2 species
CCUGGCAGCCUUAGCGCGGUGGUCCCACCUGACCCCAUGCCGAACUCAGAAGUGAAACGCCGUAGCGCCGAUGGUAGUGUGGGGUCUCCCCAUGCGAGAGUAGGGAACUGCCAGGC